GGUCCCGCCUCCCGCCGCCGGGCCUCCCUUUACUGAAGCCCAGCCGCGCGCUUGAGGCAGGCUCCUCCGUUCAGUCACGGACUCCGUCACACAGAAUGCCCACCGUCGUACAGCUUCUGCUAUGACGCCAGCGCAGACAAUAAGCAGUUUGUAGGCACACACAGUGAGAGUAAGAGCCAGCAGAGCUGCCUGGCCGGCCGAGAGCUGUUCCCUCACAGCCCACCCGGGAGCGGCCGUCAGGGUGUGCUGUCAGCAGGCCGGGAAGGCGAGGACGGAGGCGCAGCCCGCGCCUGAGGGGGCAGGGCCCCAGCAGCGGCCGUCGGUGUAGGAGGUGGGCACGUUCAUGGGCCUCGCAGGGCCAGAAGGGCAGAGCGGCUGGCACAGAGCGCCUCGGCGGGGAGGCGUCCCGGACCGUGGGAAGAAGGCGGAGCUCCCAGUCCUACAACCGCGGAUGAGGAGGGAAGUUACAGGGACAGUCCCACUAACCAGCUCGGGCGGGGGCGAUCAGGGGGCGCGCCUGGCACCCGCCAGGUUGGAGGAGCCUCUCUGACUUCUGGGACGGGGAAGCCACCGUCGGGAGACGCCGCUGCAGGCACCGCAGACAUAAAGCUGGAGUCCUCGCCACACUCGCGGCCCUUACAACCCGGGGAGGAAGACAGCCCUGGGGGCCUGCACGCAAAGGCAGGGGGCGCAGACUUGGGAUUGGGAAGGUUCCCUGGGUUUCGAGGCCUGUCCUUGCAUUCGGAAGUAGUGUCACCUUGGGCAGGCAGCCUGUUGACGUUCAGCGGCUACAAGUGUCUGAAAACAAAAGGUGCUCAAUAAGAGCACUGCAGGAAGGAAUGAGGGAGUGUCUGGCUCACAGCUGCUGCUCAGGACGGACCGAGCAGCUGGGGCUCUGGGGAGAGGGUGUAACGAUGAGUAAUAAUGAAGUGAGCUCCUGUCCACAAAACACUUGUCACGGGCUUGCCACGUCGUCGGAACAAAAUAAACGGGGACUAUUAUUCUUAACCCUAUUGUGGUAAUUACAUCUGCAAAGCCUCAUUUCAGACGUAACAAUUACUUUGUCAAAUAAAAAGAUUUUAAAUGUUAACACAGGUUCGCCACAUAAUCAGAGACUGAGUUCGCCGUUGACAGCUGAUGCUCCACUUCUCCACUGUGAAAUGCUUGGGAAUUCGCCCUCACUACAAAGUGCAGGAACUUAGAGGUACUUUGCUGAAUCAAAGGGAAGAAAUCGACCUUGAGAGACCACGUGGCCCAUCCCCUGCCUUCAGGCUAAACUGUCUUAACCGUCAGAGAGCAAUGAUUCUGUCUCCACUUUCCAAGACUUCCAGAAAUGAAGCCCGAGUAACCUGCCACAGUAACACACUUGAGCAGCCCUGCCAGAAAGUACUUGUUUCAUGUUUAACCUUAAUCUCUCGUGAGACACUCAGAACCCUUUUUCUUUCCUUCUGUUCUCCACAGAGGUGGAAAGAACCACCUUCUGUGUAAGCCAGCUCAGGAAGACAGAUCUGCACAGACGGAAUGGCCAGGAAGCCUGUGCCCUCCAAGUGCCUGGCAAGCCUGAUUUACGGAGGACCUACUUCAACAACCAGGACCGGCCGAUGCUCACCUUUGGGGGCCGGACCUGCGAAGAUUUAACAUACUUCCGCAGGCGACACAGAAGCAAACGCAUGGACUGAAACUUCUGGGAAGUUUCCUCACAGAAGGCGGACCCAGCCAGGAGAAAGAGAGGACCUCACCUUCAGUGAUACAAAUCUAACGACAACAAAAAAAAACCCCAGCAGCUAAAGGUUUCCUUCUGUUUGCACAGUGUUUCACAAUUUCAUAACCUUAUUUAAGUUUCCAGAGGUAAGUACUGUUUUGUCCACUCACUUUAUCAAUUAAAUACAAGGUUUCAUGAGGCUUACUGCCAGGCUGGCUCCAUUCGCACAACAGAAGACAGAGCGGGGUUCAGUUAGACCCGCCUUUGACUCACACUUCAGUAUUUGUACCACAGCUGUCAACUGCAACAAUGAAUUCAUCUCACAGAAACACUAACAUUUAGAAUGAAGAUUUCUUAUGAAAAAAACACAAGGAAACAGAUCUGUUUUUUAUAACAUUCUUCUGGCAAAAGAGGAUAUAAAAAUUGUUAUCAAUUAUGUAUAUCGCCACGAGACAUCCCAAGAAAUUCUAAUGCGAAUUCUCUGUAUGAAGCAUCAAGACUGUGGAUUAGAAUGUGAUGAAUAUAACUGUCAAGACAGGUGGGAGUUUUGGGGGGGAGCCCGUGAAGGCAAAGGGUCAGAGAUGGGUCCCCAAGUGACAACGAGGUUGGGAAGGUUGCAGAGAAGUUAUUUCAGAAGCAUGAAAUAUGUACCUACAAGUUUAAAAAAUAUAAGAAGAUAUUUUGGACAGAGAACAAAAUGGGGGUUGGGUUGAUGAGCCUAUUUAUUUGUAUCUGUGAAGACCCAUGUCCAACUACACUGUGUGCCAAGGCACAUAAUCUCUCCGUACUGGUUCCUUUGGCUCUUUCCAUUGCAUUCAAAAUGGUCUAUCAACAUUUUAUGAGCAAUUUGCAGUAUUUCAUGGAAUCGUUUGUUAAUGGGAGUGUUCAUGGGAUCUUGAAUUUGUUUUUGUAGCCAAUGCUUCCAUCUGCUCUAUGGAGGUAUCUUCUGGAAGAGAUUUCUGACACAUCCGAUAGUGGGAUAUCAAAGCAAUUUUGUGUUACUUUUAAAGAAAUUUGAUUGUGAUCAGCAAUAUCUACGCACGUGAAAUAUUACGUGAGUAUGGAAGGAACCUCAUUUGACUAUUUGUGGGAUUUUCAGCAUCCUUGUGAGACAAUGUAGGACUAGCAAAUGGUUCUCAGUCUUUCUGGAGAAGCUGGUAGACGCUAACUUGCAUCAAUGCGCAUAUCAAAUCAUUCAGUCUCACUCUUCAAAUAUGUAGAAUUAAGAUAAUUUUCAGCUAUUCCACCCAUAACAAUUGUUUUUAAAUUCAAAUCCAACAUUAAGAAGUUCAAAUCAUAUACCUACUCUGUUUUUAAAUUACUGAUGUGAAGUUAAAUUCUCUACCUUCCCAUUUUAGUCAAUAAACAUUUACUGAGUAUUUUCUGUUUUAGGUGCUGUGCUAGGCACUAGGGGGUGGGGAUGGUAUGACGGUAAAAAACUUCAAGUGGACAGACACUGAUCAGAGAAAUUAGUUCAACAUAAAAUUGCAGUUAUGAAGGAAAAUUGCUUAAUAUCAUGAGAAAAUAUAAUCACAGCACACUUGGAAAAAAAUCAUUCAGCUGCAGUACAGAGAAAUGAUAGGAAAGUGGUUAUAAGUGGAGGUGGGGCAAACAGCACAGAGGCUACUAGUAUUCUAGAAGCAAACAAGAUGAUGCGGGCUUGGACCAGCAUGGUGGUGGUGGGCAUGAAGCACAACUUGGUCUAAAAGAAUCAAAAAACCAUGUCAUAUUCUUGAGCCUGGUAUUCGGGUCCACCACAAACUAGCCUCUACUGAUCUUUCUCUGGACACUUUCUGCACCCUCCUGAGGCACUUGAGGCCUAAGCCUCGCUGAGGACAACUUAUUAUCAGCACACACCAAGUCAAUGCCCUUCACCGAACUGUUCCACUGGCUUGCUCCCUUCUCCCCUUUCUGGAUUGCCAGAUGCCGGGUAAAACGACCAUCUAUGGUCAGCGGCAGUUAAGUAGAUGACGACUAGACACCAACUCAGACUGGGAGCUUUGUAGCAAGUACUUUUUACAAGUUUUCUUAGUUUCAUCCAUGUUACUGCAACCGCCAUGAUUCUGUUCCUUUUCACUGCUGAACAGCGUUUCACGGUCUGAAGACAUUAUGGCUUAUCCCUUUGUGGAAGGGCAUCUGGGCUGUUUCCAGAUUCUGGCUCUCAGAAAUAAAGUCACUUUCAACACUGUUAAAUAAAGCUUUUUCUCAGUACAUAUUCUUAUUUCUCUGGGAUAAAAUUAUUAGGAGUAGAAUUACUGCUAUAUAGGAUACAUAUAUUUUCAACAUUUUUAAAGAAACUGCCAAACUUCUCAUCGUCAUGCUGCUCUAUUCAUGUAUGAAUUUUUUAGUUGCCCAAUAACCUUGUCAACAUUUGAUGUUGUUAAUUUUUAUUUUAGCCAUUCGAGUGCAAGUAUAGGAUAUCUCACCGAGGUUUUGAUCUGUAUUUGCACUUCCUCCAUGACCUAUGACUCUGACCACUUUUGCAUAUUCUUCAUGGCUGUUUGAAUAUCUACUUCUGUAAAAUUUCUGCUCUAGGUUUUCUUAUAAAAAUUGGGUUAUGUUUUUCUUGAUGAGUUGUAUAGUUUCUUUAUAUCGUAUAGAUAAAAGUCCUUUGUCAGAUGUAUGUGUUGCAAAGAUAUUUUCCUUGAGACUGUGGCUUAUUUAUUUUCUAAUGAUGUCCUCUGAUUAGAAGAUGUUUGAAAUUUUA